rnacentral:rRNA from 1 species
AUUGAACGCUGGCGGCAUGCUUUACACAUGCAGGUCGAACGGCAGCGCGGGCUUCGGCCUGGCGGCGAGUGGCGAACGGGUGAGUAAUACAUCGGAACGUGCCCAGUAGUGGGGGAUAGCUCGGCGAAAGCCGGGUUAAUACCGCAUACGACCUGAGGGUGAAAGCGGGGGAUCUUCGGACCUCGCGCUAUUGGAGCGGCCGAUGGCAGAUUAGCUAGUUGGUGGGGUAAAGGCCUACCAAGGCGACGAUCUGUAGCUGGUCUGAGAGGACGACCAGCCACACUGGGACUGAGACACGGCCCAGACUCCUACGGGAGGCAGCAGUGGGGAAUUUUGGACAAUGGGCGAAAGCCUGAUCCAGCAAUGCCGCGUGUGUGAUGAAGGCCUUCGGGUUGUAAAGCACUUUUGGCGGGAACGAAAAGGACUGUGCCAAUACCACGGUUCGAUGACGGUACCCGCAGAAUAAGCACCGGCUAACUACGUG